rnacentral:rRNA from 1 species
AACGCGAAGAACCUUACCCAGACUUGACAUACAGUAGACAGGCUCAGAAAUGAGCUCUUCCUUCGGGACUGCUGAACAGGUGCUGCAUGGCUGUCGUCAGCUCGUGCCGUGAGGUGUUGGGUUAAGUCCCGCAACGAGCGCAACCCUUAUCAUUAGUUGCCAACACGUAAUGGUGGGAACUCUAAUGAGACUGCCCGGGUUAACCGGGAGGAAGGUGAGGAUGACGUCAAGUCCGCAUGGCCCUUAUGUCUGGGGCUACACACGUGCUACAAUGGUCGGUACAGAGGGAAGCAAAGCCGAGAGGUGGAGCAAAGCCAACAAAGCCGGCCCCAGUUCAGAUUGUAGUCUGCAACUCGACUACAUGAAGAUGGAAUUGCUAGUAAUGGCGAGUCAGCAACAUCGCCGUGAAUACGUUCCCGGGCCUUGUACACACCGGCUAC